GCUACACAUGCAGUCGAGCGAGAUCUUCGGAUCUAGCGGCGGACGGGUUAGUAACGCGUGGGAAUAUACCCUUUGGUACGGAAUAGCCUCGGGAAACUGGGAGUAAUACCGUAUGAGCCCUUCGGGGGAAAGAUUUAUCGCCAAAGGAUUAGCCCGCGUUGGAUUAGAUAGUUGGUGGGGUAAUGGCCUACCAAGUCGACGAUCCAUAGCUGGUUUGAGAGGAUGAUCAGCAACACUGGGACUGAGACACGGCCCAGACUCCUACGGGAGGCAGCAGUGGGGAAUCUUAGACAAUGGGCGCAAGCCUGAUCUAGCCAUGCCGCGUGGACGAUGAAGGCCUUAGGGUUGUAAAGUCCUUUCAGCUGGGAAGAUAAUGACGGUACCAGCAGAAGAAGCCCCGGCUAACUCCGUGCCAGCAGCCGCGGUAAUACGGAGGGGGCUAGCGUUGUUCGGAAUUACUGGGCGUAAAGCGCACGUAGGCGGAUUAUUAAGUGAGGGGUGAAAUCCCAGGGCUCAACCCUGGAACUGCCUCUCAUACUGGUAGUCUUGAGUUCGAGAGAGGUGAGUGAAUCCGAGUGUAGAGGUGAAAUUCGUAGAUAUUCGAGGACACCAGUGGCGAGCGGCUCACUGCUCGAUACUGACGCUGAGUGCGAAAGCGU
rnacentral:rRNA from 1 species